GCAGUGAACAGCCGGCACGGGGGGUCCAGAGGGAAGUGAGAAGGCAGGAAGUGACAAUGCUCAUUUCUGAACCAGAAACACACCUGUCUGUGGGCAACUCUUGAGCAGCAGCUGGCUCUUAUUUUAUUUAUUAAUUCUUAAGUUUUUUUCUUCAAUUUUUAAAACCCUGAUUGAGAGAAGAGGAAGAGAAUUUUAGCAGGCAUCCAUUCCAAUGUGCCGUGGGGAUCCCAGCCCUAAAACCCCAGGAUGGACCCCAAGGCAUCUGGGGAAGGCUCAUUCUGUUUCCAGGCACUUCAGAGACCCUUUGGCAACUGCUCAUGUGGGGAAGGUGUAAAAGUUAAAAUCUUCCAGCCACGUUAGAGAAUGGAACAGGAAAAACUUCCUGGUUCUGGCGAGACCGAUGGGGCUUGAGGACUUCAGCUCAAGGACCUGAUUCUGCGUGGGUCUCACUGGGACAUGGCACAUCCUCUUCUGGGCUACCUCGAGCAUGUUGAUCCAUCUAAUUCUGCCUGAGGACAUGAAAACUGCUCCAGCUGCACCUGGGAGGGAAAAGGAGCCAAAAUCUUCCUCCAGCGGGAUUUUAGGAGCUGUUGAUCUCUCCCUGGUGAGCGGCAAGACGGAGCCUGAAUUUAUCUUUUUAUCUCUAAUGAAGAAUCACAGCUAGGGCACAGUGAGCAGGUACUGGAAAAAUCGUGGACUUCCAUGUACGAAUGGUUGGAGGAGCACUAAGAGGAAGCCCUGCAAUUUCCCGAUGAUCUGUCCUGCAAAGAACACGUCUAAAGCGGACUCCUCGGCCUCGUGGACAUUGUCAGUGCUUUCCAUAGCGCUGCCCGGGCUUGUCUGGGAAUGGGAACGGCUGGUGGGAGCUCUGGCAGAGCACCUGGAGACCAGG